UGGGGAAUUUUGGACAAUGGGGGAAACCCUGAUCUAGCCAUCCCGCGUGUGCGAUGAAGGCCUUCGGGUUGUAAAGCACUUUUGGCAGGAAAGAAACGUCAUGGGUUAAUACCCCGUGAAACUGACGGUACCUGCAGAAUAAGCACCGGCUAACUACGUGCCAGCAGCCGCGGUAAUACGUAGGGUGCAAGCGUUAAUCGGAAUUACUGGGCGUAAAGCGUGCGCAGGCGGUUCGGAAAGAAAGAUGUGAAAUCCCAGAGCUCAACUUUGGAACUGCAUUUUUAACUACCGGGCUAGAGUGUGUCAGAGGGGGGUGGAAUUCCGCGUGUAGCAGUGAAAUGCGUAGAUAUGCGGAGGAACACCGAUGGCGAAGGCAGCCUCCUGGGAUAACACUGACGCUCAUGCACGAAAGCGUGGGGAGCAAACAGG
rnacentral:rRNA from 1 species